CUCUGCCCAGCAAAACGGAACUAAUUUCUAAUUUUUGUUUUGCAUUUUUCUUCCUGACAGAGGUCUCUUGCGCACUGGGUGCAGAUGCAGAUUUUGCGCUUCAGGCAUCGUGAAUGUGAAAAGAUGCAAACUUGAGGUGAAAAUGGAUUCACCGUCAGGAGCUCAUGUCGUGGAGCGACAGAUGAGCUCCAUCAUGUGAUGGACGAGGCGCGUCGGAGCCUCAUCACAGAGAUGAUGCUCUACAACAGAAAACCCUCCACUUCUCCGCACAAAACGAGAAACUGCAAGAGGAGACGCAGAGCUCAGCCCUGGGACACUUCUCUGAGGAAGUGUCCACCCUUGAGGCUAAUGCAGCUCAACAAUAACUACAUUAAUGAGGAGUAGCAUUCAACAAUGAAGUAUAUUCCGGAGUUCUUCCGUAUCUGUGAGUACUAAAGCAGUUAAAAACAUCCCCUCUGCUAUCUGCUCAGGCCCAGGCAGCUGCCUUCCUGCCCUGCUAUGGCUCCCCCUAGCCGUGCCUCCAUAUUUCCUCGUUACUGCACACCAUAAUGCCCUGACCCUCCCUGGUCUAUCACACUAUAAAGACACCAAAAUACACAUGAAAACCUCCAUUUCUCUCCAUAAAUGUCGAGUAUACAGCCUCCAUCUGCCUCUCAGCCAACAUUGGGCUCCAUUGGAGUCAGCAGAAGACAGGA